GAUAUGAGGGUCUGUAAUAUUUAUGGAGCUAUGGGCUUUCCCCACCACCCAGAAGUUCACUUUAUGCCACUUUACUUUUACGAAAACCCUACAUUAGUACCUGAUUUCACUAACUGAAAGAAAUCUAAAGAGGACUUUUGCUUUAUGAAAUGCAUGUCCUAUAGAGCUCUCUUCAAUGAUGGCAAUAUUCAACAUCUUCACUAUCCAAUAACAUGGCCAACUAGCCACUUGUGGGUAGUGUGACUAAGGAAAUAAAAUUUUCAAUUUUAUCUAAUUAGAAUUAAUUUAUACUUAACGAGGCACAUGUGGCUUGUGGUGAAUUCAUUAGAUCACAUUCCUCAAGCUCUAUAAGAAGCCUGCAGGGAAGGCUCUUUUAUUACUUCAGUGAAGCAACAUGGCCUGGUACCUACCAAUGUGGUUCUGAGUAUAAACUGUUGGGUUCUAAUUUAGAUCGCAACACCUGUCAGCUGUGCAAUCCUGCACACAUUUUUUUAACCUCUGUUCUCGAGGCCUCAUACAUUCCUGGGCUGGUGGCCACUUCCUGCCUCUAAGACAGAAGCAUAGCAUCUUCUCUCCCUUCUAAGUUUCUUGUUUGCAAGUACCUUUAUGAGUACAUCAGGUCCAGCUGGAGGAUGCAGGGUAAUCGCCCCAUCUCCUGAUCCUUACUAUUAGCACAUCGCACACACUAUUAUCACCUUCUGCAAUGGAAGAUCUGCUGAGAGCUCUGUCCCACCAGCCAGCAACCUAAGGAGGCCUUCAAGAAUAUCUCAAAGAAGAGGCUUACAAGCAGAGGGCAAA